AGCUUUAAGUAUUUAUUUAAAGUGACGCCUGCCCAGUGCUUAUUUGUUAACGGCCGCAGUACCUUGACUGUGCUAAGGUAGCAAAAUCAUUUGGCUUUUAAUUGGAGUCGGGAAUGAAUGGACUAAUGGGGCACGACUGUCUCUUUUAUAUUUUAUUGAAUUUACUUAUUAGGUGAAAAUGCCUAUUUAUAGAAAAAAGACGAGAAGACCCCAGGAACUUUUAUUAGAGGUUAAAUAUUUAACUACUGUUUUUGUUGGGGCAACAUGGAAAUAAUAUUAAACUUUCCUUUUUUACUCGCCGAGUUAGUAUGUGGGUUUAAGUUACCCUGGGGAUAACAGCGUAAUUCUCUUAGAGCUUGCGACCUCGAUGUUGGACUAGGGACUCUACUGGUUAGCCGCCAAUAGAUUUGGUUCUGUUCGAACUACGUUUCC
rnacentral:rRNA from 1 species